AGAGUUUGAUCCUGGCUCAGAUUGAACGCUGGCGGCAUGCCUUACACAUGCAAGUCGAACGGCAGCAUGAUCUAGCUUGCUAGAUUGAUGGCGAGUGGCGAACGGGUGAGUAAUACAUCGGAACGUGCCCUGUAGUGGGGGAUAACUAGUCGAAAGAUUAGCUAAUACCGCAUACGACCUGAGGGUGAAAGUGGGGGACCGCAAGGCCUCAUGCUAUAGGAGCGGCCGAUGUCUGAUUAGCUAGUUGGUGAGGUAAAGGCUCACCAAGGCGACGAUCAGUAGCUGGUCUGAGAGGACGAUCAGCCACACUGGGACUGAGACACGGCCCAGACUCCUACGGGAGGCAGCAGUGGGGAAUUUUGGACAAUGGGCGAAAGCCUGAUCCAGCAAUGCCGCGUGUGUGAAGAAGGCCUUCGGGUUGUAAAGCACUUUUGUCCGGAAAGAAAUGGCUCUGGUUAAUACCUGGGGUCGAUGACGGUACCGGAAGGAUAAGGACCGGCUAACUACGUGCCAGCAGCCGCGGUAAU
rnacentral:rRNA from 1 species